GGGUGAGUAACACGUGGGUAACCUACCUAUAAGACUGGGAUAACUUCGGGAAACCGGAGCUAAUACCGGAUAAUAUUUCGAACCGCAUGGUUCGAUAGUGAAAGAUGGUUUUGCUAUCACUUAUAGAUGGACCCGCGCCGUAUUAGCUAGUUGGUAAGGUAACGGCUUACCAAGGCGACGAUACGUAGCCGACCUGAGAGGGUGAUCGGCCACACUGGAACUGAGACACGGUCCAGACUCCUACGGGAGGCAGCAGUAGGGAAUCUUCCGCAAUGGGCGAAAGCCUGACGGAGCAACGCCGCGUGAGUGAUGAAGGUCUUCGGAUCGUAAAACUCUGUUAUUAGGGAAGAACAUACGUGUAAGUAACUGUGCACGUCUUGACGGUACCUAAUCAGAAAGCCACGGCUAACUACGUGCCAGCAGCCGCGGUAAUACGUAGGUGGCAAGCGUUAUCCGGAAUUAUUGGGCGUAAAGCGCGCGUAGGCGGUC
rnacentral:rRNA from 1 species